rnacentral:rRNA from 1 species
CCUACGGGGGGCAGCAGUGGGGAAUGUUGCGCAAUGAUCGUAAGAGUGACGCAGCGACGCCGCGUGAAUGACGAAGGCCUUCGGGUCGUAAAGUUCUUUCGACAGGGAAGAAAAUGCAUAUAAGUAACUGUGUAUGUAUUGACGGUACCUGUAUAAGCAGCCCCGGCUAACUCCGUGCCAGCAGCCGCGGUAAUAAGGAGGGGGCGAGCGGUGUUCGGAGGGACUGGGCGUAAAGAGCACGUAGGCGGUGUUGUAAGUCAUUAGUCAAAGACUAGAGCUCAACUUUAGUAAGGCUAGUGAUACUAUAAUACUAGAGUAUCAGAGAGGAUUGCAGAAUUCCUGGUGUAGCGGUGAAAUGCGUAGAUAUCAGGAGGAAUACCGUUAGCGAAGGCGGCAAUCUGGCUGGAAACUGACGCUGAGGUGCGAAAGCGUGGGUAGCAAACAGGAUUAGAUACCCGAGUAGUC